rnacentral:rRNA from 1 species
GCAUAUCAAUAAGCGGAGGAAAAGAAACCAACAGGGAUUGCUCUAGUAACGGCGAGUGAAGCAGCAACAGCUCAAAUUUGAAACCUGGCUCUUUUAGAGUCCGAGUUGUAAUUUGCAGAGGGCGCUUUGGCUUUGGCAGCGGUCCAAGUCCCUUGGAACAGGACGUCACAGAGGGUGAGAAUCCCGUACGUGGUCGCUGGCUAUUGCCGUGUAAAGCCCCUUCGACGAGUCGAGUCGUUUGGGAAUGCAGCUCUAAAUGGGAGGUACAUUUCUUCUAAAGCUAAAUAUUGGCCAGAGACCGAUAGCGCACAAGUAGAGUGAUCGAAAGAUGAAAAGCACUUUGGAAAGAGAGUCAAACAGCACGUGAAAUUGUUGAAAGGGAAGCGCUUGCAGCCAGACUCGCUUACAGUUGCUCAUCCGGGUUUCUACCCGGUGCACUCUUCUGUAGGCAGGCCAGCAUCAGUUUGGGCGGUAGGAUAAAGGUCUCUGUCACGUACCUCCUUUCGGGGAGGCCUUAUAGGGGAGACGACAUACUACCAGCCUGGACUGAGGUCCGCGCAUCUGCUAGGAUGCUGGCGUAAUGGCUGUAAAGCGGCCCGUCUUGAAACACGGACC